AGGACGGGAAGAGAGGAGGGCG
rnacentral:miRNA from 1 species